rnacentral:rRNA from 1 species
AUUGAACGCUGGCGGCAUGCUUUACACAUGCAAGUCGAACGGUAACAGGUUAAGCUGACGAGUGGCGAACGGGUGAGUAAUGCAUCGGAACGCGCCCGAUCGUGGGGGAUAACGCAGCGAAAGCUGCGCUAAUACCGCAUACGAUCUGAGGAUGAAAGCGGGGGACCGUAAGGCCUCGCGCGAUCGGAGCGGCCGAUGUCAGAUUAGGUAGUUGGUGGGGUAAAGGCUCACCAAGCCAACGAUCUGUAGCUGGUCUGAGAGGACGACCAGCCACACUGGGACUGAGACACGGCCCAGACUCCUACGGGAGGCAGCAGUGGGGAAUUUUGGACAAUGGGCGAAAGCCUGAUCCAGCAAUGCCGCGUGCAGGAAGAAGGCCUUCGGGUUGUAAACUGCUUUUGUACGGAGCGAAAAGGCCCUCUCUAAUACAGUGGCUCAUGACGGUACCGUAAGAAUAAGCACCGGCUAACUACGUGCCAGCCGCCGCGGUAA